GCCGUGGCUCAGUGGCAGAGCGUCUGCCGGGCAGGCAGAAGGACGCAGGUUCGAACCCUGGCAUCUCCA
rnacentral:tRNA from 1 species